UACGAAGGGGGCUAGCGUUGUUCGGAAUCACUGGGCGUAAAGCGCACGUAGGCGGAUCUUUAAGUCAGGGGUGAAAUCCCGAGGCUCAACCUCGGAACUGCCUUUGAUACUGGGGAUCUCGAGUCCGGGGAGAGGUGAGUGGAACUGCGAGUGUAGAGGUGAAAUUCGUAGAUAUUCGCAAGAACACCAGUGGCGAAGGCGGCUCACUGGCCCGGUACUGACGCUGAGGUGCGAAAGCGUGGGGAGCAAACAGGG
rnacentral:rRNA from 1 species